CGUGCGCGAGCUGCCCGAGCUCUUCCUGGGCCAGAGCGAGUUCGACUGCUGCUCGGACUUGGGUUCGGCGCCGCCCGCCGGCUCGGUGAGCUGCUGAGGGCGGCCCCGCGGCCCCGCGUGCCCGAGGGGAGACGGGUCCGCCGCGGACGUGGCCUGGCUCCAGGCCCUGCCUCCUGCAGGACGACGGCGGAGCUCCACCUCCCUGACCCGGAGCCUCAGCGGUAAAGUGGAGGGGCCUGGACCCCCAUUUCGGACUCCCGGUUCUUGGAUUCUCUGCACCCCCCCACCCCGACUCCCCUCAUCUGAGCCAUCGCAGGCUGCUGCCUGCUACCCCUUCUCUCCUUGUGCAACCCGCUGCGGUCACUGGGUCCCUGGAGCCGCCCGUCCGCGGGGCCUCCACCUUGGGGAGGGGAACGUUGUACAGCCCUCGCCCCGUGCAGUGGAGCAAUAUGCCCCAUCUGGCCUCCGACACCAAAAUAAAACUGGGUCACUUUACAGUCUUGCGUUUUCAUUUCUUUACCACUCCAACAACCCUGCACUGUAUUUGGCUUCUAGGGUCCCCCUGGCCGUUGGGGACCCUGGGUGGGAUGGAAGCCACAGCCCCUGGCAGUGCCCAGGAGAGGAAACUGAGAGUUUCUUUCAAGCAAUAUUGCGAGUUGUGCAACUGUUACAUCAUAAUCUGGAAGGCAGAGGCUGCCAGGCGGUGGAGUAACCCAAAGGCUCCUCGGCUCCUGGGAGGGGUGGGAGGGCUCCGUGGUGCUGCCCUCACCUGUUUGCCCAGGGCGGCAGGGAGGCCAGAGGGGAGCUGCUGGGUGGAUCCGAGGAGUCACACACUUCUGGCUUUGAAUCGGGACUUUCCUUGGCCAGGACACCAUCCAUUCAGGUUUCAGAGGCUAUUUCCCCAGAGAUGGUUCUUGAAGCGGCUGUUCCCACUCGCCUUCCUGCCAGCACCAUGACACAGUGCCCGCUGCCUCACGACCUUGACCACCACACUGGACGUUAGCAGUGGCUUAAAUUGUUA
rnacentral:lncRNA from 12 species